rnacentral:rRNA from 1 species
GACGAACGCUGGCGGCGUGCUUAACACAUGCAAGUCGAACGGAAAGGCCCUGCUUUUGUGGGGUGCUCGAGUGGCGAACGGGUGAGUAACACGUGAGUAACCUGCCCUUGACUUUGGGAUAACUUCAGGAAACUGGGGCUAAUACCGGAUAGGAGCUCCUGCUGCAUGGUGGGGGUUGGAAAGUUUCGGCGGUUGGGGAUGGACUCGCGGCUUAUCAGCUUGAUGGUGGGGUAGUGGCUUACCAAGGCUUUGACGGGUAGCCGGCCUGAGAGGGUGACCGGCCACAUUGGGACUGAGGUACGGCCCAGACUCCUACGGGAGGCAGCAGUGGAGAAUAUUGCACAAUGGGCGGAAGCCUGAUGCAGCAACGCCGCGUGCGAGAUGACGGCCUUCGGGUUGUAAACCGCUUUCGCCUGUGACGAAGCGUGAGUGACGGUAAUGGGUAAAGAAGCACCGGCUAACUACGU